UAUGAAACCCAUUUGAGCGAGAGUAGUACUAGGAUGGGUGACCUCCUGGGAAGUCCUCGUGAAAGGGUUUCAUAC
rnacentral:rRNA from 1 species